rnacentral:rRNA from 1 species
GUAGGGAAUAUUGCGCAAUGGACGAAAGUCUGACGCAGCGACGCCGCGUGAGUGAUGAAGGCCUUAGGGUCGUAAAGCUCUGUUGAAUGGGAAGAAAAAAAUGACGGUACCAUUCGAGGAAGGACCGGCUAACUUCGUGCCAGCUGCCGCGGUAAUACGAGGGGUCCUAGCGUAGUUCGGAAUCAUUGGGCGUAAAGGGUGUGUAGGUGGCCAUGUAAGUCAGGUGUGAAAGCCCCGGGCUCAACCCGGGAAGUGCACUUGAUACUGCGUGGCUUGAGUACCGAAGAGGGUAGUGGAAUUCCAGGUGUAGUGGUGAAAUACGUAGAUAUCUGGAGGAACACCGGUGGCGAAGGCGGCUACCUGGUCGAGUACUGACACUGAGACACGAAAGCAUGGGGAUCAAACAGGAUUAGAAACCCCAGUAGUCC